rnacentral:rRNA from 1 species
UACGAAGGGGGCUAGCGUUGCUCGGAAUCACUGGGCGUAAAGCGCACGUAGGCGGGUUCUUAAGUCAGGGGUGAAAUCCUGGAGCUCAACUCCAGAACUGCCUUUGAUACUGGGAAUCUCGAGUCCGGGAGAGGUGAGUGGGAACUGCGAGUGUAGAGGUGAAAUUCGUAGAUAUUCGCAAGAACACCAGUGGCGAAGGCGGCUCACUGGCCCGGUACUGACGCUGGAGGUGCGAAAGCGGUGGGGAGCAAACAGGG